UACAGAGGGUGCAAGCGUUAAUCGGAGUUACUGGGCGUAAAGGGUGCGUAGGUGGUUACAUAAGUUGGAUGUGAAAUACUUGGGCUUAACCUGGGGACUGCAUUCAAUACUGUGUGACUAGAGUAAGGUAGAGGGAGGCGGAAUUUCCGGUGUAGCGGUGAAAUGCGUAGAUAUCGGAAGGAACACCAGUGGCGAAGGCGGCCUCCUGGACCUAUACUGACGCUGAGGCACGAAAGCGUGGGGAUCAAACAGG
rnacentral:rRNA from 1 species